UACGAAGGGGGGCUAGCGUUGCUCGGAAUCACUGGGCGUAAAGCGCACGUAGGCGGCUUUUUAAGUCAGGGGUGAAAUCCUGGAGCUCAACUCCAGAACUGCCUUUGAUACUGAGAAGCUUGAGUCCGGGAGAGGUGAGUGGAACUGCGAGUGUAGAGGUGAAAUUCGUAGAUAUUCGCAAGAACACCAGUGGCGAAGGCGGCUCACUGGCCCGGUACGUGACGCUGAGUGCGAAAGCG
rnacentral:rRNA from 1 species